UACGAAGGGGGCUAGCGUUGCUCGGAAUCACUGGGCGUAAAGCGCACGUAGGCGGUCUCUUAAGUCGGUGGUGAAAUCCUGGAGCUCAACUCCAGAACUGCCUUCGAUACUGAGAGUCUCGAGUCCGAGAGAGGUGAGUGGAACUGCGAGUGUAGAGGUGAAAUUCGUAGAUAUUCGCAAGAACACCAGUGGCGAAGGCGGCUCACUGGCUCGGUACUGACGCUGAGGUGCGAAAGCGUGGGGAGCAAACAGG
rnacentral:rRNA from 1 species